AAUAGCCUGUAAUACCCGGCCAAGCCUAAGAAGGAUUGGACCUGUUUUUUGGACUUUGGGACAGGCUACUUUUGAAUAGCCUCCACCUUGGCCUAUAGGGGGUUUAUGGUUCCUCGACCCACCUGAUGUUCCAGGUAUGUCACUCUGUUUUGGAUGUACAGUCAACACUGCUUCAUUUUUGCAUCCGUAUAGAGUAUUACUGAGUUGUCUGUACCUUGAUUUCUUCUG